GGUGAAAAUAAUUAUUAUUUAAUUUGGAAUUAAGGGGUUAAAAAAAGAAUUUUUAGUUAAGUAGAUAAAUUGAACAAUAGGGGUUAAUAAUAGGGUAUUAGUAUUGUGAAAGAAUUUUUUUUUAUGGGUAAAAGAAAAAUUUUUAUUUUGUACCUUGUGUAUCAGGGUUAAUUAAUUUUUUUAUAGAAGAUAAUUUUCUCGAAUUUAAAAGAGUUAAAUUUGAAGUGAAUUAAAUGUUGGAUAAUUUUUUUUAAUUCAAAUUUAGUAAUGAAAUGUUAUUCGUUUUUAAUAUAUCUAGUUAUUAAAGAAAAAAGUUUAAUUUGUUUGUUAAAAAUAUUUUUUUUAAUUUAAAAUUUAAUGUUAUUAGCAGGUUAUUUUUAAGGGGAUGAGCUUUUAAAAAAAUUUUUAAAAAUUAGGGGUAGUUUUAAAAAAUUAUGGGGUUAGAAGUGCUUUUUAUUAAUAAAGUGUUAUAAUUAAUUUUUGAUCAUAUAUUAUUUCUAUUAAUUUUAAAUAUUAUAUUUAAUAGAAUGAAUUAAUUUAAAAUUUGUUGUUAUAAUGAUUAAAUUAGUAUUUAUUGAUUGUAAAAUAAUUUUUGUAGGGGAGGUUAUUUUAAGGAAUUCGGCAAAUAUUUUUUCACCUGUUUAUUAAAAACAUGGCUUUUUGAUAAUAAUUUAAGGUCUGGCCUGCCCACUGAAGAUUUAAAUGGCCGCGGUAUUUUGACCGUGCUAAGGUAGCAUAAUCAUUAGUUUUUUAAUUGAAAGCUGGAAUGAAGGGUUGGAUGAAAAAAGUACUGUCUCUAAAUUAUUUGAAAAGAAUUUUAUUUUUAAGUAAAAAAGCUUAAAUUUUUUUAAAAGACGAGAAGACCCUAUAGAGUUUUAUAUGAAUUGGAUAUUUAUAGUUAGGUAUUUUUAAGUAAAUGUUUAUUUUUUAUUUGGUUGGGGUGACUGAAAAACUAAUUAAACUUUUUUUAUUUAAAACCAUUUAUUUAUGAAAAUUUGAUCCAUAGUUAAUGAUUAAAAGAAAAAAUUACCUUAGGGAUAACAGCGUAAUUUUUUUAAAGAGUUCUAAUCGAAAAAAAAGAUUGCGACCUCGAUGUUGGAUUAAAAUUAAUUUUUGGUGCAGAAGCUAGAAAUUUUAGGUCUGUUCGACCUUUGAAAUUUUACAUGAUCUGAGUUUAAACCGGUGUGAGCCAGGUUGGUUUCUAUCUUUAAAUUAAUUAUAUGUUUUAGUACGAAAGGAUCGAAUAUGUGGUAUAUUAUUUACUUUGAUGAGCAAUUGU
rnacentral:rRNA from 1 species